UCCAUCCCCAGAAGCCAAAUGGAGGAACGUAAACCAGAUGCUGUCAGUGACCAGUUCACCCAGAGUCAACAUGGGGAUCUGAAGCACAUAUUCCAGGUGUUAGAGGAGAAGAUCAUCACCUUUGUGAAGAAUGAGCUGAAGAGAUUCAAGAGGAUGCUGAGUCCAGAUUACC